GCAUCCUCCUCCUAGGAACAUACUUUGAAUUGUACAAAAGUGAGGAGUGGCCAUUACAGAUCAGUACUUCAGCCCCUUAAUAUAGAAGUCUGUGGGCAUCUAAGAAACGAACCCACCCAUAAAUAAGAGAGGAAGUCGAAGGAAGAGAGGGAUUCGAACCUUGAACAUUGAAUCUCGUCAAGGAGAGAUAGUAACCGCUAGGCCAAACUUGGAUUGUCUCUCUUCAGCUUGCUUUAUAAUAUGUUUCUAGCGAUAGACCAUUAUCAUUAUGCUUUUCACAGCAAACAAUUUCAACUUGUCAAAUGACAUGAUCUUCCUGGUUGUUCAGUGAUUUUUAUUUUUAUUUUUAUCACAUAGAUUUCAUUUAAACAUUA